AGCAAUGGGUAUCGAUAGGUAUUUCUGCUGGGAUUACAAAGGAAUCAUCAUCCCUUCCCAGUUAUUGUUGUAGCAUUAAAAUAUUUUAGCUUUUUUUUUUUAACCCCAUAAGACAUCACACAGGCAAUAUUUGCAUGGAUAUACACAUUCACUUACCACUUUUUUGAUUAUCAUUUUUCUUGUAUUUUGUAAAUACAGUAAAGUGUGCUGACUA
rnacentral:lncRNA from 1 species